rnacentral:rRNA from 1 species
UACGUAGGGUGCAAGCGUUAAUCGGAAUUACUGGGCGUAAAGCGUGCGCAGGCGGUUCGCUAAGACAGAUGUGAAAUCCCCGGGCUUAACCUGGGAACUACAUUUGUGACUGGCGGGCUAGAGUAUGGCAGAGGGGGGUAGAAUUCCACGUGUAGCAGUGAAAUGCGUAGAGAUGUGGAGGAAUACCGAUGGCGAAGGCAGCCCCCUGGGCCAAUACUGACGCUCAUGCACGAAAGCGUGGGGAGCAAACAGG